rnacentral:rRNA from 1 species
UGAGGAAUUUUGCGCAAUGGGCGAAAGCCUGACGCAGCGACGCCGCGUGGAGGAAGACGGCCUUCGGGUUGUAAACUCCUGUCAGAGGUGAAGAACGCCCGCAAGGGCUUGACGGUAACCUCAGAGGAAGCCCCGGCUAACUACGUGCCAGCAGCCGCGGUAAUACGUAGGGGGCGAGCGUUGCUCGGAAUUACUGGGCGUAAAGGGAGUGCAGGCGGCCGGUUAAGUCGAAGAUGAAAUCCCGAGGCUCAACUUCGGAACGGUCU